rnacentral:rRNA from 1 species
UACAGAGGUCCCAAGCGUUGUUCGGAUUCACUGGGCGUAAAGGGUGCGUAGGUGGUCGGAUAAGUCUGAUGUGAAAUCUCCGAGCUCAACUCGGAAAUGGCAUUGGAUACUAUUCGGCUGGAGGGUUGGAGGGGGGACUGGAAUACUUGGUGUAGCAGUGAAAUGCGUAGAUAUCAAGUGGAACACCAGUGGCGAAGGCGAGUCCCUGGACAACUCCUGACACUGAGGCACGAAAGCUAGGGGAGCAAACAGG